UAUCAUAUUUCUGUCUCACAAAGACACCUCCAACAUGCAUGAUUGACAGUAUGACAGCAUCAUGCUAAAUGCUUACACAAAAAAAUGCAUACUAGCGAAGAUUGGAAUGGUCUUCAGGGAAGAACGGAUAACUCUUUAUUGCCCGAAAUGAUCUCUUUUCAAAAAUCCUAAGUUUUUUAUUUGCAAAUUUAUCCCGGUUGUCACCACGUGUGAAGCAAGCUUGACAAGUCCCUCUGGAAACAAGUUCCCUAUUAGCAUACUUUUGUAAAUGGUGUACAUCUGAAAUGUGCGGACGCCACCCAAUGAAGCAUGUAUCAUUGAGGGGACUCCGAAGUUAUAUUUGGAUAUAAGGAUUAUGUUUUUUGAGAAAAACCAGAAAAAGAGCAUGGCAACAUCCAAGUUUCAAAGAUGAGAGACAUUAACAACUAUGACAUCAAGACCCUAAGCCUAACGCGUGAAUAUGAAACCCACAGACAGAUCAGAUUUGGCACGUUUCCCUCCGAUGUCUGCGACCUGAAUCCCAUUGCCUGCAAAUGUGAACCAUGUGUGCACCUCCUGCCCCCUUCAUUGAAAAGUGUCCUAAUGAGAAGACGCUACAAUGCCAGCAAUAAGGGCUCCAGUCGGAGUCCAUUUCGGUCCCUCGAGGGCAGUCCUUGUGGGUGAGGAGAAUCUGCUUCAGCUGACCGACCUCCGACCUCAGUGACGUCACCUCAUUCUGGGGGAAAAAGUAAAAUACAUCUCGA